rnacentral:rRNA from 1 species
GAUGAACGCUGGCGGCGUGCCUAAUACAUGCAAGUCGAGCGAACGGACGAGAAGCUUGCUUCUCUGAUGUUAGCGGCGGACGGGUGAGUAACACGUGGAUAACCUACCUAUAAGACUGGGAUAACUUCGGGAAACCGGAGCUAAUACCGGAUAAUAUUUUGAACCGCAUGGUUCAAAAGUGAAAGACGGUCUUGCUGUCACUUAUAGAUGGAUCCGCGCUGCAUUAGCUAGUUGGUAAGGUAACGGCUUACCAAGGCAACGAUGCAUAGCCGACCUGAGAGGGUGAUCGGCCACACUGGAACUGAGACACGGUCCAGACUCCUACGGGAGGCAGCAGUAGGGAAUCUUCCGCAAUGGGCGAAAGCCUGACGGAGCAACGCCGCGUGAGUGAUGAAGGUCUUCGGAUCGUAAAACUCUGUUAUCAGGGAAGAACAUAUGUGUAAGUAACUGUGCACAUCUUGACGGUACCUAAUCAGAAAGCCACGGCUAACUACGUGCCAGCAGCCGCGGUAAUACGUAGGUGGCAAGCGUUAUCCGGAAUUAUUGGGCGUAAAGCGCGCGUAGGCGGUUUUUUAAGUCUGAUGUGAAAGCCCACGGCUCAACCGUGGAGGGUCAUUGGAAACUGGAAAACUUGAGUGCAGAAGAGGAAAGUGGAAUUCCAUGUGUAGCGGUGAAAUGCGCAGAGAUAUGGAGGAACACCAGUGGCGAAGGCGACUUUCUGGUCUGUAACUGACGCUGAUGUGCGAAAGCGUGGGGAUCAAACAGGAUUAGAUACCCUGGUAGUCCACGCCGUAAACGAUGAGUGCUAAGUGUUAGGGGGUUUCCGCCCCUUAGUGCUGCAGCUAACGCAUUAAGCACUCCGCCUGGGGAGUACGACCGCAAGGUUGAAACUCAAAGGAAUUGACGGGGACCCGCACAAGCGGUGGAGCAUGUGGUUUAAUUCGAAGCAACGCGAAGAACCUUACCAAAUCUUGAUAUCCUUUGACAACUCUAGAGAUAGAGCUUUCCCCUUCGGGGGACAGAGUGACAGGUGGUGCAUGGUUGUCGUCAGCUCGUGUCGUGAGAUGUUGGGUUAAGUCCCGCAACGAGCGCAACCCUUAAGCUUAGUUGCCAUCAUUAAGUUGGGCACUCUAAGUUGACUGCCGGUGACAAACCGGAGGAAGGUGGGGAUGACGUCAAAUCAUCAUGCCCCUUAUGAUUUGGGCUACACACGUGCUACAAUGGACAAUACAAAGGGCAGCGAAACCGCGAGGUCAAGCAAAUCCCAUAAAGUUGUUCUCAGUUCGGAUUGUAGUCUGCAACUCGACUACAUGAAGCUGGAAUCGCUAGUAAUCGUAGAUCAGCAUGCUACGGUGAAUACGUUCCCGGGUCU